UUCCUUUCAUUCAACUUCUCCCCACGACGCAGGUCAAACCCACUCUUCUCUUUCUCUAUUAAAAAACAAUUCAUCAGUUCCCCAAUAAUGAUUUCAUCAAAUUCUUUUAUGGGAUUUCAUUUGCAAUCAGAUUGGUAUAACCUAUGAUUUCAUCCAAUAGGGGAAUAAUGAAAGCCAACGGUGAACUGGUGUUCGGAUUUCUACUCGUCGCUGCUCUGAUCAGACUGAUUCAAUCGAAAUCGACAGCGGUGGUGGCCUUGAAACCGAUGACUGGGUUUUCAUUUUUGAGUUAAGCGAAAUCCCAGGUUAUAUCUUCGUAAAGAUGGAGCUUCGAACAUCCACUGAAAAGGGGCAGGACGAAAUGCAAGUCCACUGAAAUCAGGUCAAGCUGAGAUUCACAUGGUUGUAUAGAGGCAUGAGCAAAUGCACUCGACCGCAUUGAAAUCUGAUGAAGAGGAGGUACUAUCAGAUUGCAUUUUAUAAGUUUGGUGCCUGAUUAUUUUUAAAGUGGGAUUAUAUGCUCUUUGAUCCACUUAUCAAUGAGGAUGCUGAGCUGCAUGAAAGGCAAAGAGACUUGAGGCUAGAUGUUGAUAAUAUAUCAUAUGAGGAGCUGCUAGCAUUGGAAGAACAUAUAGGAGACAUGAACACUGGGCUAAGUGAAAAGAAAACACGUAGCUUUUAUGGCGAUUCAGAGCCCUGUUGCAUAUAUCAGGUGAGAGUAAGAUUUAUUUCAAGAAUUAUCUUUUUGUAUCGGGCUAAUUACCCUUUUAAACGCAAAUAUAUGCUACCCUUUAACUCUGGUCUGAUUUAUGGUUUCCGUAAUUUGACUUUUUAGGCAUGAAAGAACCAUAACUCCAAUGUUAAACACUAACACUCGUAUAAAAAUCAACUAUAAUAUACACAAACACCCCGCUAAAUUGGUAUGAAUAGUAUUCCAGUUAACACUAAAUUUAGUUCAAGACUAACGGAAAAAUGGGCGGGUUGGGUUGGGUAACGGGGGUUCGGGUCAAAACGGGUCAUUUAAAAAGUAGGGCCAGAUUAGAUUCGGGUCACAACGGGUUUUGAUACAGGUCAAAACGAGUUAACUCUAUUCUUUAGCAUAUUUUAUACUUUAUAUCAUUGUCCUCCCAGUUAAGCGAUAUUGUUUGUAUCCGUUAAAAGAAAACUAUCUAUAAUCUAUAAUACUAUAUAAAGCAAAUGUGAUGGCCAGAAAUGUAAUUUCACAUCGCGUACAAUUUUUGAAGCAAAAUGUAUAAGAGAGCACAAGCCAUUUUAAAGGGGUUAAAUUGGUAUUUCCACCAUAGUUUAAGACACCAAUGAAGGCAGUUAUGGGAUUUCAGCGUGAGUUCACAGUCCUAUCACCAUUUAUUCAUCCAUUUCAUUGUACAAUUCAUCCAAUUGCACAAGCAUUGUCACCGUCAGAGGGCAUGUCCGUUUCCAUCCCACCCCUGAUAUUCACAUUUAACUCUUGGCUAUUGAGUUGCACCCCACAUCGGUUUUCCCACUGCUCCCUCAAAUCCAUUCUCCCCUCAAAUCAAGAAACUCUGAUGCGAUAGAUGGAGCGAAAGGUGAUCCGAAGAAAGAGAAGCGGAGGAGGUAGACGGGCAGUGACAACGGCCCUCUUACACCGGAGCUUUUGGCCGUUGGUUCUGCCCUCUUACACCGCCGUACCACCACCUGCAACCACAGGAGCACCCUGUCGCCGGUUCCCUUCUUCAUAGUUCUGCGAUUUCGAAUUCGAUUAAGGUAUGCUUCUGGAUUUUUUUAUUUUUUUAUCGAUAAUUAGGUUGUAGGAUUUUUUUAUUUGAUACACUCAACUUCAAGAGCUCUAAGCUGUAGGUUAUUUGUAGGUUUUCUCUAUUUUUAAUCGAUUUAUGUCUUCGUGUCGUGGAUGUUGGUUCACUGGUAGUUGGUCACAUGCUCUUAAAUUCACACAUCAUAAAACGUAAUUUAUAUUUCAAAUAAAGACAAUUUUUUAUUUUGCAGUGAUUAGUUUGAUUAAUUGGUUGAUGGUUUUAUAUUGUCUGAGUGGACAUGGGAAAUUGGCAAGGCAAAUGACAUUUUUAUGGCAUUUUUUGAAUAUACAAAAAACUGUAUAAAGGUAUAAUAUAACGAAGUUGAUAUUAACUUGUGAAUGUGCUUUAAGCUUUCUUAUGUAAGUUAGUUGGUAUUUUAUGUAUAUAAUGAUAAUCAUUUCAUUUGUUUGUGAAAUAUGUUUUUAUUUAACUUUAUAUGAUCUUUUCAUCUACUUUUUUUUCAUAUACUAAUAUAUGUUUAUGAAUUAUGAUGGGACAAAUGGAGGUACUACUUAAAUGUUUUUCUAGCAUUUUAAUUAACAGCCUUUAGCCAAUCUAUAGAUUUGAAUGAACUGGUAUUAAGCAAAUGACACAUUAAUAACUUUGACAAAACAACAUAAUUAGCCAAUCUUUAGAUUUGAAUGUCCUGCCCUUUAGUCAAUCUAUAGAUUAAUAACUUUGACAAAACAACAUAAUGUACUCGAAUUGAUCGGAUAUGAACUAAUGGGCGGAAGGUAUUAUAAGAUCAAGAUUUGAGGCUUUGAAAAAGCUGUAUAGAAUUACAUGAUUGAAGUGAUCCAAAUGAUAGAGCAAGUGUCUUGCAACAGAAAUUUGAUGUUGAUACUUUGCAAGGUGAUCAUGUGACCAAUGUAUACAAGGGAUUUCUUGAGUCUAAUAAUUCUUCAAAAUGGUGUCACAAAAACUUUAUUAAUUACCAUGUAAUGAAGAUGGUACUCAUACUCAAGAGAACAACUAAGAAGAAUAGUACGACUGGUAUUAGUCUUAAAAUCAUGCAAAACCGACACGCAUAUACUUUCUUUUAUAUUGUUUUUGACAUUCUUCAUGUUACCAUAUAAAAAUCUAUUUAAAGUAAUUGCUAUUUUUUGGCAUAACA